rnacentral:misc_RNA from 1 species
GAAAUGCGAUACGUAAUGCGAAUUGCAGAAUUCAGUGAAUCAUCAAAUCUUUGAACGCAAAUUGCGCUUCUUGGAUAGGCCAGGAAGCAUGCCUCUUUGAGUAUCGUUUUCACCCCAGCUCGACUGCUUUUUUGUGCUUGUGUAACAACGAGUUUCAAGAUUGUUUUGUCGGAGAAUGAGUUUGUCUUGUCUGAAAUAGAUAAGUCACUUUAAAUGCUGUGAGUUUGAUUACCUACUUCAGUUGUGUC